GGGUCUCAGAGUCCAGAAUCUUCAGGUGCAUCUUUUUAAUCUUUAAUUAGAAGUCAUAUAUAUGCACAUAUGUCACUUUUAACUCUAUUGUUUUCAUGCUCAUUUCCACAAGCCUCCCCUUCUUCUACUUUCCUUCCCUUCUUACGGCAUCUCAUGCUCUCCUUAUGAAACUCCAUUUCUUGCGCAUUAAAUCUUUCUCCAAACACCUUUUCGGCUUAAAAUCGGCCUAAUUUGGACCCAUAGCACCUCUAGCCUACCCAUAGCAUAUGAACGGUACGUAGCUCUGUUACAGUUGGUCACAUUCGAUAAAACACCAUCACCUACUUCUUAAUGUGAUGAUUUUGCCUAGUUCCAAGAAACCCAGAUUGUAAUGAAGAAGGGAAAGAAAAUGAGGGGAGUGGAGGAACGCAAAGAGUACCAGAAUCUUUUUACCUCUUUCCCAUUUUCUUGGGCUACUGGCAAUGGUAAUUGUUAAUGAUGGUGAUUGAUUUCCCUUAUUGCUUUUGCUUGACGCACCAUCAUAAAACUUGCCUUGGUGGCGACAGAGGCGACAACGACAAACAACUUUUAAAAGGUGGUGGAGGCGUUCAACAACAAAGAGACAAGGCAUUAAAUGGUGCUUAGGGAAGGGCGAAAGGGAAAAGGGGUUUGCUUACGGAGAAGAAAGUAAAGAAAAUGAGGGGGGAGUGGAUGAACUGCUCUCAAUUACUUGGUUGUCGGUGACAUUGUGCAGUACUGCCAUUUUUUAACAUAAUUCUCUCUGUUUCUUAUCUCCUCUUAUUUUGUGAGACUAUAUUUCCUGUUGAAUGUAAUUCCCUCUACCUGUUGAAAUUGUUCCUAUAAAAUC
rnacentral:misc_RNA from 1 species